CCUAUCUCUUACGUGACACAAGAUCGGAUUCCACUUUUCUAGAACCAACGUUUCCAAGCAAGCAACAACAAAAGAGAAUCCACCUUAUUGUUGUAUCCUAGUUUCGGUGGUCACUCUUCUCACUAGAGAGAGAGCUUGUUACAAGUCUUACAAGACUCCCAAAUAUCAUCCAAACUAAAAAUCCUACAAUGUUCCUUUUAUAUC
rnacentral:lncRNA from 1 species